rnacentral:lncRNA from 1 species
GAUAAAGCCUCUUCUCACCCACAAUCUGGUAUUCAUCUUCUUUUAUGUUGCGGCCUUGAGCCGGGUCGUAACAGAAUUGGGGGCUCGUCCGGGAUUCAUCUGUCUUCGCUGGAGGGUCCGAGGGACCGCUUCAGCAUUCCGUCGUCGCUGGAGGGUCCGAGGGACCGCUUCAGCAUUCGUCUGUCUUCGCUGGAGCGUCCAAGUGUCCAGCCUUCAUUCGUCUCCGCUGGAGGGGUCCAAGGGGCCUGUCCAGCCAACAUUCGUCUUCGCUGGAGGGUCCGAGGGGCCUGUCCAGCCUUCGUCCGUCUCCGCUGGAGGGUCCGAGGGACCGCUUCAGCAUUCGUCCAUCUUCGCUGGGGGGUCCGAGGGACCGUUUCAGCCUUCCGUUUCCGCUGGAGGGGUCCAAGGGGCCUGUCCAGCCAACAUUCGUCUUCGCUGGAGGGUCCGAGGGGCCUGUCCAGCCUUCGUCCGUCUCCGCUGGAGGGUCCGAGGGACCGCUUCAGCAUUCGUCCGUCUUCGCUGGAGGGUCCGAGGGACCGCUUCAGCCUUCCGUUUCCGCUGGAGGGGUCCAAGGGGCCUGUCCAGCCAACAUUCGUCUUCGCUGGAGGGUCCGAGGGGCCUGUCCAGCAUUCGUCCGUCUUCGCUGGAGGGUCCGAGGGACCGCUUCAGCCUUCCGUUUCCGCUGGAGGGGUCCAAGGGGCCUGUCCAGCCAACAUUCGUCUUCGCUGGAGGGUCCGAGGGGCCUGUCCAGCAUUCGUCCGUCUUCGCUGGAGGGUCCGAGGGACCGCUUCAGCCUUCCGUUUCCGCUGGAGGGGUCCAAGGGGCCUGUCCAGCCAACAUUCGUCUUCGCUGGAGGGUCCGAGGGGCCUGUCCAGCCUUCGUCCGUCUUCGCUGGAGGGUCCGAGGGACCGCUUCAGCCUUCCGUUUCCGCUGGAGGGGUCCAAGGGGCCUGUCCAGCCAACAUUCGUCUUCGCUGGAGGGUCCGAGGGACCGCUUCAGCAUUCCGUCUUCGCUGGAGGGUCCGAGGGACCGCUUCAGCCUUCAGUCUCCGCUGGAGGGUCCAAGGGGCCUGUCCAGCCAUCAUUCGUCUUCGCUGGAGGGUCCGGAGGACCGCUUCAGCAUUCUGUUUCAGCUGGAGGGUCCAAGGGGCCUGUCCAGCCUUCAUUCGUCUCCGCUGGAGGGGUCCAAGGGGCCUGUCCAGCCAACAUUCGUCUUCGCUGGAGGGUCCGAGGGGCCUGUCCAGCAUUCGUCCGUCUUCGUUGGAGGGUCCGGAGGACCACUUCAGCCUUCCGUUUCCGCUGGAGGGGUCCAAGGGGCCUGUCCAGCCAACAUUCGUCUUCGCUGGAGGGUCCGAGGGGCCUGUUCAGCCUUCGUCUGUCAUCGCUGGAGGGUCCGAGGGACCGCUUCAGCAUUCCGUCUUCGCUGGAGGGUCCGAGGGACCGCUUCAGCCUUCCAUUUCCGCUGGAGGGGUCCAAGGGGCCUGUCCAGCCAACAUUCGUCUCCGCUGGAGGGGUCCAAGGGGCCUGUCCAGCCAACAUUCGUCUUCGCUGGAGGGUCCGAGGGGCCUGUCCAGCAUUCGUCCGUCUUCGCUGGAGGGUCCGAGGGACCGCUUCAGCAUUCUGUUUCAGCUGGAGGGACCGCUUCAGCAUUCAUUCGUCGUCGCUGGAGGGUCCGAGGGACCGCUUAAGCAUUCUGUUUCAGCUGGAGGGUCCGAGCGGCCCGUCCGGCCUUCGUCUGUCUUCGCUGGAGGGUCCGAGCGGCCCGUCCGGCAUUCGUCUGCCUCCGCUGGAGGGUCCGAGGGACCGCUUCAGCAUUCCGUCCGCCGGCAGAAUAGCGGCCAGUGCCUUGUGCGCUGGUCCUCCAGGACUACAGCAUUCAUGGCUCUCUAGGUCAUGGAUCAAACAUUUUCAUUUGGGGUUAAAUGUUUGA